AUGAAAUCCGGUUCAGGGCCUAGAGGACCUCGGCUGAGAACCACUUGUUCCAUGGGCCUAGAUGGCAUGCAGACCUAAGCACACCGUGUACAUAAAUGACCAGAUGACAAGUCAAGUCAUGUCAGCAUACGUGGAUUAGCAGCAAAACGGCAGGUCGUUCUGAUCCUACUCCGGAUUUGUGCUGAUCCAAUCGCAUGAAGCCAAAAAUUUAUUCUGCCACUUUCUUUCUUCCCUCGCAAAACCCUCGGUCACUCUGUUCUCCGCUUCCGCAUCCUUCACUAGCAAACAAUGGCUUUUCACUGCCAAAAUCCUUCCAUCACCGCCACUUCAACUUGCUGCUGCAGCUGUCAUUACAACCAUUGCUUUAUCCAAUCUCACCGCGCUUCUGCACCACUGCAACAGCAAUUAUCAGUUGAUCCAAUUCUCCAAGCUCUUGGACUUCUCCUUCAGCAGCAGCAGCAGCAGCAACCCAAAAAUCCCAUUGCCAAUCCCAAGUGGAAGUAAGUGGAUGGAAAUUAAGACUCUGUCAAGAUCCAAGCAUGCCUCUCUCAUGCCCACAAGUUCGUAAUUGUUUAAUUUCUGAUAUUGCUGUUGAGCUGUUACACAGCAAAGGAAUAUUUAGAACAUUUAUUUAUAGAAAAUUAACUAUUUAUUAUGUCAUGAUAAAAUUCCGUAGUAGUUUUAAAACGUUUUAAAACGUUUUAAAACAUUUAUUAA